rnacentral:rRNA from 1 species
UACGUAGGGGGCAAGCGUUAUCCGGAUUUACUGGGUGUAAAGGGAGCGUAGACGGCUGUGCAAGCCAGAUGUGAAAGCCCGGGGCUCAACCCCGGGACUGCAUUUGGAACUGUGUAGCUGGAGUGUCGGAGAGGCAGGCGGAAUUCCUAGUGUAGCGGUGAAAUGCGUAGAUAUUAGGAGGAACACCAGUGGCGAAGGCGGCCUGCUGGACCGAAACUGACGUUGAGGCUCGAAAGCGUGGGGAGCAAACAGG